CGGGGUGCAGCAGGCGCGAAAACUUUGCAAUAAGCGAAAGCUUGACAGGGCUAUCCCGAGUGCCAUCCGCUGAGGAAGGCUUUUACCCAGUCUAGAACGCUGGGGGAAUAAGGAGAGGGCAAGUCUGGUGUCAGCCGCCGCGGUAAUACCAGCUCUCCGAGCGGUGUGGAUGUUUAUUGGGCCUAAAGCAUCCGUAGCUGGCUAAGUUAGUCCCUUGUUAAAUCCACCGAAUUAAUCGUUGGAUUGCGGGGGAUACUGCUUGGCUAGGGGACGAGAGAGGCAGACGGUAUUUCCGGGGUAGGGGUGAAAUCCUAUAAUCCCGGGAAGACCACCAGUGGCGAAGGCUGUCUGCUAGAACGCGCCCGACGGUGAGGGAUGAAAGCUGGGGGAGCGAACCGGAUUAGAUACCCGGGUAGUCCCAGCUGUAAACGACGCAGGCUAGGUGUUUGGACGGCCACGUGCCGUUCUAGUGCCGCAGGGAAGCUGUUAAGCCUGCCGCCUGGGGAGUACGAUCGCAAGAUUGAAACUUAAAGGAAUUGGCGGGGGAGCAC
rnacentral:rRNA from 1 species